GCAGACACAUUUCAGCCAAUCAGCAGCAGACCCUCCCUCCCAGACCCUCCCACCUCCUGGACAGCAUCCAUUUUACAUUCAUUGUGAAGCUGCAUUCUUAGUGAGCUGUCCAGGAGGUGGGAGGGUCUGGGAGGGAGGGUCUGCUGCUGAUUGGCUGGAACAGGGUC